rnacentral:rRNA from 1 species
CCUACGGGAGGCAGCAGUGAGGAAUAUUGGUCAAUGGGCUUACGCCUGAACCAGCCAAGUCGCGUGAGGGAAGACUGCCCUAUGGGUUGUAAACCUCUUUUGUCAGGGAGCAACGCCGGCUACGUGUAGCCGGACUGAGAGUACCUGAAGAAAAAGCAUCGGCUAACUCCGUGCCAGCAGCCGCGGUAAUACGGAGGAUGCGAGCGUUAUCCGGAUUUAUUGGGUUUAAAGGGUGCGUAGGCGGAAUGCCAAGUCAGCGGUAAAAUCGAGAGGCUCAACCUCUUUCCGCCGUUGAAACUGUCGGUCUUGAGUGGGCGAGAAGUAUGCGGAAUGCGUGGUGUAGCGGUGAAAUGCAUAGAUAUCACGCAGAACUCCGAUUGCGAAGGCAGCAUACCGGCGCCCGACUGACGCUGAGGCACGAAAGCGUGGGUAUCGAACAGGAUUAGAUACCCCAGUAGUC